rnacentral:rRNA from 1 species
GGUUAAGCGACUAAGCGUACACGGUGGAUGCCCUGGCAGUCAGAGGCGAUGAAGGACGUGCUAAUCUGCGAAAAGCGUCGGUAAGGUGAUAUGAACCGUUAUAGCCGGCGAUGUCCGAAUGGGGAAACCCAGUGCAAUUCGUUGCACUAUCGUUUGAUGAAUACAUAGUCAAACGAGGCGAACCGGGGGAACUGAAACAUCUAAGUACCCCGAGGAAAAGAAAUCAACCGAGAUUCCCCCAGUAGCGGCGAGCGAACGGGGAGCAGCCCGGAGUCUGAAUCAGCUUGUGUGUUAGUGGAAGCGUCUGGAAAGUCGCAGGGUACAGGGUGAUACUCCCGUACACUAAAAUGCACAGGUUGUGAACUCGAAGAGUAGGGCGGGACACGUGGUAUCCUGUCUGAAUAUGGGGGGACCAUCCUCCAAGGCU